rfam:Myotis davidii contig212308, whole genome shotgun sequence.
ACCAUCCUUUUCUUGGGGUUGCGCUACUGUCCAAUGAACAUCUAGUGAGGAUAAUACUGCUAAUGCCUAAGAUAGAUAGAUAGAUAGAUAGAUAGAUAGAUAGAUAGAUAGAUGCUUAAAGAUGGUCCCGUGGAACAUCCUCAUUUGAAGGGUUAUCAGAGGAGGAGAAAACCCAAUGAAGAAGAAAUGGUUGGAGAA